AGUGGAAUUGCUAGGUCAUAUGGUAAUUCUGUAUUUAACUUUUUGAGGAACUGCCAACUGUUUUUCAAAGUGACUGCAUCAUUUACAUUCCUACUAGCAAU
rnacentral:pre_miRNA from 1 species